GACGAACGCUGGCGGCGUGCUUAACACAUGCAAGUCGAACGGAAAGGCCCUGCUUUUGUGGGGUGCUCGAGUGGCGAACGGGUGAGUAACACGUGAGUAACCUGCCCUUGACUUUGGGAUAACUUCAGGAAACUGGGGCUAAUACCGGAUAGGAGCUCCUGCUGCAUGGUGGGGGUUGGAAAGUUUCGGCGGUUGGGGAUGGACUCGCGGCUUAUCAGCUUGUUGGUGGGGUAGUGGCUUACCAAGGCUUUGACGGGUAGCCGGCCUGAGAGGGUGGCCGGCGACAUUGGGACUGAGAUACGGCCCAGACUCCUACGGGAGGCAGCAGUGGGGAAUAUUGCACAAUGGGCGGAAGCCUGAUGCAGAAACGCCGCGUGCGGGAUGACGGCCUUCGGGUUGUAAACCGCUUUCGCCUGAGACGAAGCGUGAGUGACGGUAAUGGGUAAAGAAGCACCGGCUAACUACGUG
rnacentral:rRNA from 1 species